CUUAUAAUCGAAAUUUUUUGGAAUCUAUGCUCCCUAAAAUUAACUGGGAAGCUUUUGUUUUUGCGGCUAAUCAAUUAAAGUUAAGUGUUCCUCAAUUUUGUCCGUCUCAACCUGAAGAAAAUUUUUUUGAAGAUUUACACAAAUAUCUUUUAGAGCUCUGCGUAGUAGAGUGCACCUUGGCUUGUAAUUACUGUGGUUGUACUUUUGCCGUUAGAGAAGGGAUCCCC